rnacentral:rRNA from 1 species
UACAGAGGUGUCAAACGUUGUCCGGAAUUACUGGGCGUAAAGGGCGCGUAGGCGGUGGGAUAAGUCAGGUGUGUAAGCUCAGGGCUCAACCCUGAAAUUGCACCUGAUACUGUUUCACUUGAGUUGGGUAGAGGAGGGCGGAAUUCCUGGUGUAGCGGUGAAAUGCGUAGAUAUCAGGAGGAACACCUGUGGCGAAGGCGGCUCUCUGGUCCCACACUGACGCUGAGGCGCGAAAGUUAGGGUAGCAAAC